UACGUAGGUGGCGAGCGUUGUCCGGAAUUAUUGGGCGUAAAGCGCGCGUAGGUGGGAUAGUAAGUCUCAUUUAAAAGAUCGGGGCUCAACCCCGUUAAGGGUGAGAAACUGCUAUUCUUGAGUGCAGGAGAGGAAAGCGGAAUUCCCAGUGUAGCGGUGAAAUGCGUAGAUAUUGGGAGGAACACCAGUGGCGAAGGCGGCUUUCUGGACUGUGUCUGACACUGAGGCGCGAAAGCCAGGGGAGCGAACGGG
rnacentral:rRNA from 1 species